rnacentral:rRNA from 1 species
UACGUAGGGUCCGAGCGUUGUCCGGAGUUACUGGGCGUAAAGCGCGCGCAGGCGGCUUCAUAAGUCUGGCGUGAAAGCCCCCGGCUCAACCGGGGAGGGUCGUCGGAGACUGUGGAGCUUGAGGGCGGUAGGGGCUGGUGGAAUUCCGCGUGUAGCAGUGAAAUGCGUAGAGAUGCGGAGGAACACCGAUGGCGAAGGCGGCCAACUGGUCCGGUACUGACGCUGAGGUGCGAAAGCGUGGGGAGCAAACAGG